AUGCGAUAAGUAAUGUGAAUUGCAGAAUUCAGUGAAUCAUCGAAUCUUUGAACGCACAUUGCGCCCGCCAGCACUCUGGCGGGCAUGCCUGUCCGAGCGUCAUUUCAACCCUCAGGCCCCCCGGGGACUGGUGUUGGGGAUCGGCCCGCCCUGGCGCGGCGCCGUCCCCGAAAUACAGUGGCGGUCUCGCUGCAGCCUCCCCUGCGUAGUAGCACACCUCGCAUCGGAGAGCGGCGCGGCCACGCCGUGAAACCCCAACUUCUGAUAGUUGACCUCGGAUCAGGUAGGAAUACCCGCUGAACUUAA
rnacentral:misc_RNA from 1 species